GACGAACCGUGCGAACGUUAUUCGGAAUCACUGGGCUUAAAGCGCGUGUAGGCGGCGCGGAGCAUCGUCGGCUGAAAUCCCCCGGCUCAACCGGGGAACGGGCCACGAGAUGACCGCGCUGGAGGGGGGUAGGGGGAGCCGGAACUCACGGUGGAGCGGUGAAAUGCGUUGAGAUCGUGAGGAACGCCCGUGGCGAAAGCGGGCUCCUGGACCCCACCUGACGCUGAGACGCGAAAGCCAGGGGAGCGAACGGG
rnacentral:rRNA from 1 species